rnacentral:pre_miRNA from 1 species
AUUGGAAUGGCUGGGUCAUAUGGUAGCUGUAUGAACAAUUUUUAAAGAAACUGCCAAACUGUUUUCUAAAGUGGUUAUGCCAUUUUGUAUUCUCCACAGGCAGU